GGAAUUAAAGGAAAAUGUCUUAGCACUUUGAUAGGAACUUUGUGAGCCUUCUUAGAUUCUUCAAGGACAUGAUCCACUUCAGGAAAAAUUAACCCACCUUGAGGCUCCACAAUUAUGACAUAAGUCAUCAUUUACAUGCUCUUUCCAAAACAACAUGCAAUUGUUGGGGCAUGCAUCAAUCUUUUUGUACUCUAAGUGUG
rnacentral:lncRNA from 1 species